UGUGGAAUGUGACCUCUUUGGAGGAAAGGACUUAGUCAAACAUUGGUCAAAAAAGACAAUAAUUAUAAACAAGGACUACUUCUGAGAACAACAGCCACAGCCGCAAAUUAAAGAACUCUCUUCAAAGGGCUUCAUUUUAAACUUCAGAUUCCAAAAUGAUCGCCCUGAUCAGCAGAACCUUUCAAUGUAAGAACAGCCAGAAAUGAACAAGUCCUCUUAAUGAUGUUAUAAGGGAAAGUUGAUGCUUUAUACAACUUGGAAAAAAUGCAUGUACCUUGUGUUUAUGGCCAGGGGCACAGGUCAAAAAUGCAAAUCAUGUCUUCUGUGAACUGAAAUAAUCAAGCUUGAAGACAAUGGUGAGAUUUGAGUCUAUAUAUGCGUUAUCAAAGGAUAUAUGGAAUCUGCCUUCUCUACUUCCAUUCCAGCAUAUCUUUUCUGAAUAAGAAACAAAUUGGUGGAAGUUAUUACCCCAAGUGGCUUCCAGAUGUUAACUAUAUGACUGAACAGAACUAUUCUCUUAUGAGAAGGCUAAAGUUGAACAUUGAUGCACUUCACAUUUUUUGUUAAGAAAAAUAAAUAAUUCACACUUUUGCAAGUGAAGGUAUGUACUUUUUCUGGCUUUCUUGAAAUGAUAUUAUUAUUAGCAAGUGCCAGCAGAGUUCAUGGGUGGCAUUUCUCACUGAGAAGCAAGACAUGAAUCAAUAUUUUUAUUAGAGUCGACCCACUUGUCUUCAUAAACAAAAUUUAAUGUUUUUUUCAUUUACACUUCAAUGCUGUAAGAAGGAUAUACGAAUUAUUAGAAGAGAGAAAUAAACUAUCCAGAUAAACAGUUUUUCAAAGGCUGUUAUUGGUGCAAAUUGAAGCAAGAAGUUGAGUCAGUUUAGAUUCCAAAAGAUGAUGCUUGUUGCUGUCUCAAAAGCAUGGAGGAGUGCAAAGAAAGAUUUUCUGGCAGUAAAUGGGAGUUCUAAGAGCAGAACUGAAAGCCUUACCUGGCAUGUCUCCAAGUGAUAUGAACUGACCUCUUCUCACCUGGCUCUUGAAAGUUAUUGAUAAUUCAUGUGGAGAAAGCAGGUCUAGAGAUAGAAGUAUUUUUUUUUUUUGAGAAUUGGUAGUCAGAGUUCAGCCCACCCCAGUCUGUCUUCCUUAAUAACUUCAUUCUCAAGUAUUCUCAACUGCAGAUCUAUAUAGGCUGUGGUGAAAUGACUCAGAGGUUCUUUUUGAUCCGGUUAACUAAUGGCAUAUAGGACUGUUACCAUCAAUAAGCUGUUUAGUCACUUGGGAGCAGGGUGAUUACCCUGAACAAAUAAAAGAUAAAUUCUAAUUCCUUAAAUACAAUGCAGACUGCAAUGAAUGGAGGACUGAUACUUAAUGGCACUUAAAGUUCUACUGGGUUGUUUAUUGAAUUCUGUAUGAAGAAAGAGUAGCCUAAUGGGGCAACAGUCAUUGGUAUUAAAAGAUGUCUAUGGUUAAGGUCUUCAUAUAGAACAGUUCCUUUUUUUUUUUGGUAUUUUUUAAAUUGUGGUAAAAAUACAUAACAUUAAAUUUGCCACUUUGACUAACUUUAAAAGUAUAGUUCAGUAACAUUAAAUACAUUCAUAAUGUUGUACAACCUUCAGCACUAUUUCCAGAAUUUCAUCAUCCAAACAGAAACUUUGUAGCCAUUAAACAGUAUCUCUCCAUCCCCCACCUUCAGCCCUU